rnacentral:rRNA from 1 species
AACGAACGCUGGCGGCAGGCCUAACACAUGCAAGUCGAGCGAACCCUUCGGGGUUAGCGGCGGACGGGUUGGUAACGCGUGGGAAUAUACCCUUUGGUACGGAAUAGCCUCGGGAAACUGAGAGUAAUACCGUAUGUGCCCUUCGGGGGAAAGAUUUAUCGCCAAAGGAUUAGCCCGCGUUGGAUUAGAUAGUUGGUGGGGUAAUGGCCUACCAAGUCUACGAUCCAUAGCUGGUUUGAGAGGAUGAUCAGCAACACUGGGACUGAGACACGGCCCAGACUCCUACGGGAGGCAGCAGUGGGGAAUCUUAGACAAUGGGCGCAAGCCUGAUCUAGCCAUGCCGCGUGGACGACGAAGGGCCUUAGGGUUGUAAAGUCCUUUUCAGAUGGAAGAUAAUGACGGUACCAUCAGAAGAAGCCCCGGCUAACUCCGUGCCAGCAGCCGCGGUAAAGUCACA